GAGUGGCGGACGGGUGAGUAAUGUCUGGGAAACUGCCUGAUGGAGGGGGAUAACUACUGGAAACGGUAGCUAAUACCGCAUAACGUCGCAAGACCAAAGAGGGGGACCUUCGGGCCUCUUGCCAUCGGAUGUGCCCAGAUGGGAUUAGCUAGUAGGUGGGGUAACGGCUCACCUAGGCGACGAUCCCUAGCUGGUCUGAGAGGAUGACCAGCCACACUGGAACUGAGACACGGUCCAGACUCCUACGGGAGGCAGCAGUGGGGAAUAUUGCAC
rnacentral:rRNA from 1 species